GAUGAACGCUAGCGGCAGGCUUAACACAUGCAAGUCGAGGGGCAGCACGGGUAGCAAUACCUGGUGGCGACCGGCGCAAGGGUGCGUAACGCGUGAGCAACAUGCCCUAUACAGGGGGAUAAUCCAGGGAAACUUGGUCUAAUAUCCCAUAGUAUUUAGAGGAGGCAUCUUCUAUAAAUUAAAGCUUCGGUGGUAUAGGAUUGGCUCGCGUGACAUUAGCUAGAUGGUGAGGUAACGGCUCACCAUGGCAAUGAUGUCUAGGGGUUCUGAGAGGAAGGCCCCCCACACUGGGACUGGAGACACGGCCCAGGACUCCUACGGGAGGCAGCAGUGAGGAAUAUUGGACAAUGGAUGGAAAUCUGAUCCAGCCAUGCCGCGUGCAGGAAGACAGCCCUAUGGGUUGUAAACUGCUUUUAUAUGGGAGCAAUAAGGUCUACGUGUAGACUGAUGAGAGUACCAUAUGAAUAAGC
rnacentral:rRNA from 1 species